rnacentral:pre_miRNA from 1 species
GAUUUCAACUGAAAAAGUCAUCAGCAACAAAUUUGUAUAACUCAUUAAGAUCUAUAACUUUUAUUUUGGUCAUUUCUUUGUCCAAGAAAGUUAUUUGUAGGAUUGUUCACAUAAUAAACAUCUCUUAUACAGUUUUUAUAAAACUAUAUAAGAGAUGUACAUUUUGUGAACAAUCUUACAAAUCACUUUAUCGAAUGAAGAAAUGACCAAAAUAGAAGUUAUAGAUCUUGAUGAGUUAUACAACUUUGUUAUUGAUAACUUUUUCAGAUAAAAUC